UAAUUUCUUCUCUUUGGUCAUUCCCGGCUGGGUACCUGUAGAAAUCUUGCUGACUUGCUGCUGUUCUGUUCACCUCAUUUCGCAGGAUCUAUUGGCCAUAGUGGGUUUUUUUUCAUCCAGGAAGUGCAUCGUCUCUCCUUUUGUCCAGACCUACUCCCCCUUUGUUGUGCUGCCGUAUCAUCCAGCCGUGGUUGAUGUUGUGCCUAUUGUAGUUAUUGCUUCACACCUUGAGAAAUCCUUGUGGCGGAAGGAAGUCAUAUAUCAUCGCUGCAGUGAAGUGC